rnacentral:rRNA from 1 species
GACGGGGGCCCGCCCAACCGGCGGAGCAUCCGGAUUAAUUAGAUGCAACGCGAAGAACCUUCUCAAGGCUUGACAUGGACCGGACCGGGCUGGAAACAGUCCUUCCCCUUUGGGGCCGGUUCACAGGUGGUGCAUGGUUGUCGUCAGCUCGUGUCGUGAGAUGUUGGGUUAAGUCCCGCAACGAGCGCAACCCUCGUUCCAUGUGCCAGCGCGU